GACUGUAUAGCUUAACGGUAAGGCAUGCGGCACUCAGUGGUAUUUCAGGAUUAUCGCGAAUUCUUGCCGCACAUCCGAGUUCGACUCUCGGUGCAGUCA